rnacentral:tRNA from 1 species
CAUUAAGUGGCUGAAAAAUAAGCACUGAUCUCUUAAAUCAGUUAUAGUAAUAAACUCUUAAUGA